AUAAUGGGUGAUUUGCAUGA
rnacentral:siRNA from 1 species